AAAAUAGGAUCUUAAAGAAGCUAUUCCACCUUUAGGACUUCGCAUAGAAUUUCGGGAAAAGCUUAGCGGAUGGAAAAAGCAAGAGUUUGGCAUUGACGAUGACAUAAUUUCCGCUGAUUCCAAUGUUAUAAAUUGGCUUAAUCGUCCAACGACUUCUAAUACUUCAAGUAGCAAAUCUCCUGUUUGCCGAACAUACAUAAACGAGGAUUUUUUACCCUGUUAUCAAACACCGCACGUGGAACAAAAAUUUUGAACUUCUACAAAGAAAACAACAGACUUGACAACAUCAACAUGGACGAAAUAAUAGCUAUUUUAAUCGAAGAAAUAUGUUACGGAAACAUUUCUCCUAAACCAAGUGAUUUUCAUUCGCUGGUAAACGAAAUUUGCUCCGUUUUUCCUAGUGAAGUAGAUACAAAGGAAUAUUACUAUAUUCCCCGAACUGGAAAAAAAAAUCCGAGUGGAAAACUAUUCUAUAAAUACGUGAACUGCCGCAAGGGCAAAAAAGGUCGCAUAAUAUGCCUCACAAUGAAGAAAACAAUAUGCAGCAAUGUACUGAAGAACUCGACAAUUCCAUUAUCAGCGCUUUAAAGUUGUAGCUCAGCAAGGAGAGCGCAGAUUGGAAAGAAAUUUUGGAUAAUUGGGCUAAAACUUUUUCAGCCAGGCAAAAAGACUUGAAGAACUUGGCAAGUUUCGACUUGUUAAAAGCCUGGCCGAAAUUGGCCGAUGCACGGGCACCUGAGCUGAUUAAAAUUGACUUCGAUCUUUUGUACCCAUUGAAGCAAGAUUCUUUGC